UGGGGAAUUUUGCGCAAUGGGCGAAAGCCUGACGCAGCAACGCCGCGUGAGUGAUGAAGGCUUUCGGGUCGUAAAGCUCUGUCAAGGGGAAAGAAAUGCUUAGCGGUUAAUACCCGUUAUGCUUGACGGUACCCCUAAAGGAAGCACCGGCUAACUCCGUGCCAGCAGCCGCGGUAAUACGGAGGGUGCGAGCGUUGUUCGGAAUUAUUGGGCGUAAAGCGCGUGUAGGCGGUUUGGUAAGUCUGAUGUGAAAGCCCUGGGCUCAACCCGGGAAGUGCAUUGGAAACUGUCAGACUUGAAUACGGGAGAGGGUAGUGGAAUUCCUGGUGUAGGAGUGAAAUCCGUAGAUAUCAGGAGGAACACCGGUGGCGAAGGCGGCUGCCUGGACCGAUAUUGACGCUGAGACGCGAAAGCGUGGGUAGCAAACA
rnacentral:rRNA from 1 species